rnacentral:lncRNA from 1 species
UAAUUUUCACGUGAUAUGAUUAUAUGAAGGUGAUAAUAAUUGUGAUUGCUGUUGUAUUGCCAUUCGUGUGACCAACUGCAUGUUCAUAAAAUUAAUCGGUGACCAGGUAAAAAUAUUUUUAGCAUCUGUGUGAUUGUAUGGGGUGAGAGGGUUAUCUAACCCUACUCAUUGAGUUUGGCGCUCAUCCCUGCCUACUAUUUUUUGUAAUAGAAGAAAGAAGAGUCCUAUGGAAUUGAAACAAUAAUUAUCAAGAGUUGUUAGUGAAUGAAAUAAUGAAGUAAAUGUAAAGGUAGAGUUCCGCAAUUGUAGUCCAGUUGGGUUGUAAAUGAAUAAUAAAAGGCCAUAUUAAAUAUAUGAACUGU